rnacentral:lncRNA from 10 species
CAGGGGCUCUCCAGCGUUAAUAUGUGUCAGAAUCACCCUGGGAAAGCUUAUCAAAGCUCAGACAGCCGGUCUCUCCACAAUUCUGAUCCAGCAGGCCUGGUGUGAGCCCGAGAAUUUGUGCUUCUGAGGCCCUGGCUUGACCACACUUUGAGAACCUCUGCGCUAAGCUGAGGUUUUGUAGACACGGAGGAGGUUGGUGUCCAUAGUGUGUAACUAGAGGCUGGGAGAGCUGGUGUGGAGCCUGCGUGGGCAGUUGGACCCCUUUGUCGUUGGUGUCCUCGGAUGCUGUAGGCCGUCUCCAAACUAUAGUCCUAUUGGACUGGUGCACCAAAUAUGGAUUUGGGGUGUGCGUAAUUCAGUCCAUAGCACCCACCAAACCACAGAAGCUGCCCCGAGCUGAUGUCCCGCUAUCGGUGCGGCUGCAGGACACUGUCCCAUUGCUGCAUGGAGCCUCUCGCUGUCUGAGCCUCACCUGAAGCCGGCCCACACCAUUUUCUUACUCUAUGCAUUGGAGCGAAAAUGUUUAAUUGACUACGAUGGGUGAUUCCUAAAGUUAUAUUUGACUCAGAAAAAAAUGCAUUAGUAAAACUCCCUGUUUGAAUGUUUCUAGUAUUCACAGCCCGGGUCACUGUCUUUCUAUAACGAUUGGUAUCUGAAAUAAGAACAUGGGCUGCAACUUACAGCCUUGCUCUUUCUACUAUAUAAACUUCCCUAAUCAAAUAUUUUUCAUUAAAAAAAUGUGUUUUUGGAAAUAAACAGUUACAACCUGG